CAAGUCCCCACAUGAGAGACGUGCUGCUGGGCUACAGACCCCACAGUGAGUAGCAAAGAAUUAGAAUACAUGAGAGAAGAAAGGUUACCCUCUCUCACGAUGCUGUUGGAGGGAAGAUGAUAGGAAAGGAAUGAAGAGGCGUCACAAGUGACCCUUACUGGGCUGUCAGAAGCAGUGCAGGCUCACUGUGUCUUCUGGGAAGGCUCCCUUCCUUGGCAUUGUCCAUUUGCAGUGGCAGGAACGAGCCCACAUGUGUGCCUGUGUACUGUCACGUCCUCCCGGCACAGAUCUCUUGGACUUCCCCAUGGCUUCUGUUCUCAGAAAGCCCAUGUGGCAGGAUGCUGGCUGCACAACUUCAGGGAGCAGGUCCAGCCAAAACUUGAAGCCAAUUUACCUUCUCCAUGCUGCAGAGUUGCGGUGGGCAUCCGAGUUGAGAUAGAUGCUGGUUUCAGAUGUGUAUGCUCAAGACUCUGGCCCCAGAAAUUUGGUAGCCAUAGGGCCUUGUGGCCUGAUCUCAGGAAAGAUCAACUCAACCUGAAAAAUGCCAUCUACCUUCAGAGGAGUCUUUAAUUGGAGAGGUACAAGCAAGUGUAUCUGGAAAGUGAUCUAGAA
ensembl:lncRNA